rnacentral:rRNA from 1 species
AUAUCAAUAAGCGGAGGAAAAGAAACCAACAGGGAUUGCCUCAGUAACGGCGAGUGAAGCGGCAACAGCUCAAAUUUGAAAUCUGGCUCUUUCAGGGUCCGAGUUGUAAUUUGUAGAAGAUGCUUCGGGUGUGGCUCUGGUCUAAGUUCCUUGGAACAGGACGUCAUAGAGGGUGAGAAUCCCGUAUGUGACUGGUUGCCUUCGCCUAUGUGAAGCUCUUUCGACGAGUCGAGUUGUUUGGGAAUGCAGCUCAAAAUGGGUGGUAAAUUUCAUCUAAAGCUAAAUAUUGGCCAGAGACCGAUAGCGCACAAGUAGAGUGAUCGAAAGGUGAAAAGCACUUUGAAAAGAGAGUGAAAUAGUACGUGAAAUCGUUGCAGGGGAAGCGCUGGUUACCAGUCGCGCACCGGGGGGAUCAGCUGCCGCUUCGGCGUCGGUGUACUCCCUCCGGCUGCGGGUCAGCACCGGCUCUCGCGGCGGGAAAAUUGCCCGGGGAACGUGGCCCGCCCUUCGGGGUGGGUGUUAUAGCCCCGGGCGCAGUACCGCCCGCUGGGGGCCGAGGAUAUUCGCGCCAUUGGCUCGGAUGCUGGCAUAAUGGUCAUCAGCGU